UACGUACGGUGCAAGCGUUGUCCGGAAUUAUUGGGCGUAAAGAGCUCGUAGGCGGUCUGUCACGUCGGCUGUGAAAACCCGAGGCUCAACCUCGGGCCUGCAGUCGAUACGGGCAGACUAGAGUUCGGUAGGGGAGACUGGAAUUCCUGGUGUAGCGGUGAAAUGCGCAGAUAUCAGGAGGAACACCGGUGGCGAAGGCGGGUCUCUGGGCCGAAACUGACGCUGAGGAGCGAAAGCGUGGGGAGCGAACAGG
rnacentral:rRNA from 1 species